rnacentral:rRNA from 1 species
CAGUCGCCGCGGUAAUACGAAGGGUGCAAGCGUUGUCCGGAAUUAUUGGGCGUAAAGCGAGCGCAGGCGGUUAGAUAAGUCUGAAGUUAAAGGCUGUGGCUUAACCAUAGUACGCUUUGGAAACUGUUUAACUUGAGUGCAAGAGGGGAGAGUGGAAUUCCAUGUGUAGCGGUGAAAUGCGUAGAUAUAUGGAGGAACACCGGUGGCGAAAGCGGCUCUCUGGCUUGUAACUGACGCUGAGGCUCGAAAGCGUGGGGAGCAAACAGGAUUAGAUACCCCAGUAGUCCCUGUCUCUUAUACA